UUAGUAUCAACUCAGAGUUCAAGCAGAGAUGUGGAACCUCGAAGAGCGCCUGCUUCUCCUGUUUCCGAAGGGCGUGCUCGGGGUCCUCGCGCUCCUUGGGAUCCUGGUUGUGGGGAAGGUGCUCGCUUGCUCGGUGUGGGGAGCUUUGGGGGCGCUGAGGACGUACGUGUGGGCCAGGCUGUGGGCCAAGAGCCUCCCUGAAACCUACGGGAAAUGGGCAGUGGUGACUGGCUCAACGGACGGCAUAGGGAAGAGUUAUGCCAAGGAGCUCGCUAAGAAGGGAAUGAACAUCUUGCUCAUCGCGAGAAAUAUGGAGAAACUACAGAAAGUUGCUGAAGAAAUUAGAUCUAAAUCCGGGGUUCAGACGGACAUCGUGCAAGCCGACUUCGCGCUGGGUCGUCCAAUCUAUGAAAACAUUGCAAAGCAACUGAAGGGGAAAGACAUCGGAAUUCUGGUGAACAACGUGGGCAUGCUGAUCACUCCGGGUCCGUUCGAGAAAUUAACGGAAGACAACAUCUGGGCGUACGUGAACGUGAACGUGGCGUCCGUGAUGGCCAUGACUCAACUGGUUUUGCCCGAGUUGCUCCGGAGGAGGAAGGGCGCCGUCGUCAACGUGUCGUCCGUCGGCUCUUACUUCCCGAUGGCUUACUUUCAGGUGUAUGCGGCGUCGAAGGCCUUCGUGAGCAGCUUCACCCGCUCCUUGCAGGAGGAGUGCGCCCCCUCGGGCGUGACCGUCCAGUGUUUGGAGCCGGGCGCCGUGUCCACCAACAUGAUCUCCUUCGACAAGGACUUUCACACCCCAGGGUUCUUCACUCCCACCGCCGACGCCUUCGCCGCCAGCGCCGUGGCCUCCCUCGGCCACGCCAGCCGCACCACGGGGUACUGGACGCACUGGCUGCAGCUGGCGAUGGCGAGGACUUUACCCGAGUGGUUUAUUCUGAGCAGCUACAAGGCGAGGAUGGAUGAUAAGCUUAAAAAGUCAAAAUAAAAUCGAUGGAAUUAUUGGACAAUCCCUGUGUGAUCCGAGAUUACGAAAAACAGUAUAUACCUUUAAAAGUUCACUACAUCUGUCAACGAACAAUCAAACAGACUGUGUGCUGCGUGGUGACCUGCCAUUUCUUGCACACAGGGGAUAACAAACAGUAUGUCACACCAAGAAUGUCCAUUGUAUCAAAUGUAAUCAAACUAAAUUAUUAUUAGUAGUAGUAGUAUUAUCAUUAUUACUAUUAUUAAUUAUUAUUAUUAUCAUUAUUAUCAUUAUCGUUAUUAUUUUUUUUAUUAUUAUUACUAUUAUUAUAAUUAUUAUUAUUAUUAUUAUUAUUAUACUUUUGUUCGCACGGUCAUUUGUGAUGUCAUGAUUGCAGAGAUGUGUUAAUAAUAUUUGUUUAAAGUACUUUGUUUUAUAAUUUGCCCUCUUUUAUUCAUGGAAUAAUGAUUUUGAUUUGUUCUAAUUAUAAAUAUUUGUACUUUUGUAUUUAUCUGAAUAAUGAACGCUGUGACGUCACUAUAAAUACCCCUAAGACAACAAUAAACAGAGUACCGACUGGA
rnacentral:misc_RNA from 1 species